rnacentral:rRNA from 1 species
UACGAAGGGGGCUAGCGUUGUUCGGAAUUACUGGGCGUAAAGCGCGCGCAGGCGGUCUUUCAAGUCAGUGGUGAAAGCCCGGAGCUCAACUCCGGAAAUGCCAUUGAAACUGUUAGACUUGAGGAUGAGAGAGGUGAGUGGAAUUCCCAGUGUAGAGGUGAAAUUCGUAGAUAUUGGGAAGAACACCGGUGGCGAAGGCGGCUCACUGGCUCAUUUCUGACGCUCAGGCGCGACAGCGUGGGGAUCAAACAGG